GGGGCGGGUGGCAGAACCCUGAACUGUGGCUGUUUCUGGUGUCUUGCCCCCGCGGACAGAGCGUGCUGGGCCUCCGUGGUCCUCUGUGGGGUGGGUGGAGCGCAUGAGCUGGGUGCUGCUGGGCCGUGGCUGGCUCCCCAGCCCGGGGUUUGUGCAGGACUCCUCCUGAAGACAAUUUGGAACCCAGAAAGCAGCACUGAGGAGAACGGGUUUGUGCGUUUCUGGAUCCUUGGUGCUUCCCAGUCUCAGACGCUGCGCAGCUCUGAGGGGUCUCACCAGGGAGACUUGCACAGUCGGCCCCGGGUGGAGUGGGGCUGCAGCGGGUCUUGCAGGAGCUGGAAGGUGGGGGUGAGUGUCUCUCACAGGACCUUUCAAAUGGGCCCAGCAGAAUGCAUCUGUGGAAAUGGUGCCACCUAAUGCUGGGCUGUGGCCAGCAGGACCUGAAAGGCUACAGCGGGCUGUGUUUCUGCUCUCUUGAGAGUCUCUGCACAGUUUUCCUUGGUUUUUGUCUGUUUGGAGGACGCUUCCCCUUUUCUUGGCUUCCUAGCCUUCUGAGCGUUUGUUAAGUAUGACAAAACCAUGAGAAGGCAUUUUUAUGGCAUAAUUAUGUUAUCCUGGUGGCUGGGUAAAUGACCUGCAAAUGCGGGUGACUCAAGUAGCUCUGAGGGUGUUCAUAUCCAAGACAGAGGUGGGAAGGAAAUGUUCAGGCAGGCGUCAGAGGAUCUGUUCUCUGCUUUACACUGGGGCCCUGGUUCCCUGACAGUCUUCACACUCCAUCCAAAAUGGGGAUAAUGAAGUCUCACGGAUUCGGCGUCAGCUGAGAGCUGCCUCCAGCACAGUCUGUAUUUCUUGGCAUCUUCUCCCUUAUCCAGAAGUGAGGGUGAACGCCAAGUUAUUCACAGGAGUCAAGAGACCACACACAGCCCAAAGUGACAUUUGUUUCCCUGAAAUGAUUUGUGUGUGUUCACCUUAAAAUGCAACUCGGUAAAACAGAUCUAUACAACCUGGCGUUUGGCCGUGGCUUCCAGGACAGGCUGGAUGCAGAGUGAAGUCCUCUCCUCACUGUCAAUGUUUGCAGAUGUCUUCUUGUAUAAACUUCGUAUUUCUUGAGACUUUCAAUUAGGUUUUUACUUAACUGGACUUUUAAAAUUGCCAUGCACAUAACUCUACCAGUUAGAAUCUUGAGCUAACAUGGGUUUUUGGUUUUUGGUUUUUGGUUUUACUUUGAUGAAUGUUUAACAUUUGCAUGCUGGAUGUGGGGGUGGAGGUCAUUUAUCUGCUUUUCAUUGCCUUCUUGGUUAUACUUAGUGACUUUCAGGUAAGGUGUGGAAGGCGUGGUACAGGGUGAAUUGCAGGCCGCACUGUGGCGCCGUGGAGGACAGGUGCGGGCUGCAGUGGUGUGCACAGUGGAUGAGAGACAAGAGAGACUUCCAUCCUUGAGGGAAAACACAACAAUUUAAAAAAAACUGAUCGUCUAGCUUACAUGAGGUCCAACAAAUUCAGUUUGCAAAGUUUAACUUCCAAGUUAAUUUAGUAAUUUUUCCCCUAAGUCAUUAAUUUAGUAGCUUAUGUUUAAAUAUAUUUCUUUUGUCUAAAGGAGGCCAUAAAUUCUAAAAUGAAUGACUAAACAUGUAAUAAUUUAGGCAUACAGCACCUGAAGGGAAAACUGCCAGUAUGCUAAAAUAUUGGAUACAGAUGCUUUUAAAAAAUAUAAUGUAGCAUUCUU
rnacentral:lncRNA from 1 species